UACGGGGGGGGGCAAGCGUUGUUCGGAAUUACUGGGCGUAAGGGCUCGUAGGUGGCCAACUAAGUCAGACGUGAAAUCCCUCGGCUUAACCGGGGAACUGCGUCUGAUACUGGAUGGCUUGAGUUUGGGGGAGGGACGCGGAAUUCCAGGUGUAGCGGUGAAAUGCGUAGAUAUCCGGAGGAACACCGGUGGCGAAGGCGGCUUCCUGGACCGACACUGAC
rnacentral:rRNA from 1 species